rnacentral:lncRNA from 1 species
UUUUUUUUUAUUAAAUUAGACCAUCUAGUCAGGUAAGACCUAGAUGUUGGCAGGAAGAAGACCUAGAAAGAGUCCUUCCUCUUUCUUUCAGAGAAUUAUAAUUUUGUUCUGAAUCUAGAGUACCUGUCUUCUUGGCGUCUACUGAGGUGCAAGUCCCUUGUGACAAAAAUCUUAAUCCUGGUGAGGAUUUUUGCCCUAGUCUGUGGGUUUGACAGCUGAAAGUGUGGGGUUUGAGAUGUAUAAACAAAACUCCAGACAUUUUAAGGCAAGGGAAUAGCCAGAGUGGAGAAGGUGUUCCAUCUCAUGGUCAACCUGGAUCUCCCUGACAGGGGAAUAGCAGUAACUCAUUGGGGGAAAAAAAAUACAUACAUACAUAUAUAUAUGAUUUCAUUUAUUUUUAUAUGUUGCUCAGGACUGACCCCAGUACCUCACACAAUAAAGAUGAGCACUCUACCACUGAGCCACAACCUCAGCCCCUGGAAUAUACUUUUGCUCCCUCAAAAAAAUCAGAGCAGUUGGAUCUGGUGGAAUCCUGGUUACUGGGAAAGAUGAGGCAGAGGAAUCCCCAAGUUCAAGGCCCUCCUGGGCAGCUUAGUGAGGCCGGAUCUCAAAGAGAGAGAGAAUUAGAGCAGCUGGGGGCCAGGGCAGA